rnacentral:tRNA from 1 species
GCGGGUCGGUGGAAGGCUGGUUAAACCGUUUGGUUUUCGACCAUAAUGACCCGGGUUCGAUUCCCGCAUUGGACA